rnacentral:tRNA from 5 species
GCCGCCGUAGCUCAGCCUGGUUAGAGCGCCGGCCUCGUAAGCCGGUGGUCGCGGGUUCGAAUCCCGCCGGCGGCU